rnacentral:rRNA from 1 species
ACGCCCGAUCCCCUUGAGUUUGAUCAUGGCUCAGGAUGAACGCUAGCGGCAGGCUUAAUACAUGCAAGUCGAGGGGUAACAUGGUAGCAAUACUGAUGACGACCGGCAAACGGGUGCGGAACACGUACAGAACCUUCCUUUAAGCGGGGGAUAGCCCAUAGAAAUGUGGAUUAAUACCCCAUAGUAAUGUUUAAUGGCAUCAUUAGAUAUUUAAAGAUUUAUCACUUAAAGAUGGCUGUGCGGCUGAUUAGGUAGUUGGUGUGGGUAACGGCCCACCAAGCCAUCGAUCAGUAACUGGUGUGAGAGCACGACCAGUCACACGGGCACUGAGACACGGGCCCGACUCCUACGGGAGGCAGCAGUAAGGAAUAUUGGUCAAUGGACGCAAGUCUGAACCAGCCAUGCCGCGUGAAGGAUGAAGGCCCUCUGGGUUGUAAACUUCUUUUAUCUGGGAAGAAAUGCUUGUUUUUUAACGAGUUUGACGGUACCAGAGGAAUAAGCACCGGCUAACUCCGUGCCAGCAGCCGCGGUAAUACGGAGGGUGCAAGCGUUAUCCGGAUUCACUGGGUUUAAAGGGUGCGUAGGUGGGAAUGUAAGUCAGUGGUGAAAUCUCCGUGCUUAACAUGGAAACUGCCAUUGAUACUAUGUUUCUUGAAUUUUCUGGAGGUCAGCGGAAUAUGUCAUGUAGCGGUGAAAUGCUUAGAUAUGACAUAGAACACCAAUUGCGAAGGCAGCUGACUACAGGGAUAUUGACACUGANGCACGAAAGC